rnacentral:rRNA from 1 species
UACGUAGGGGGCUAGCGUUGUCCGGAAUCAUUGGGCGUAAAGCGCGCGUAGGCGGUCCGAUAAGUCGGAUGUGAAAGUCAGGGGCUCAACCCUUGAAAGCCGGCCGAUACUGUCGGACUAGAGUCCGGAAGAGGCAAGUGGAAUUCCCGGUGUAGCGGUGAAAUGCGCAGAUAUCGGGAGGAACACCAAUGGCGAAGGCAGCUUGCUGGGACGGUACUGACGCUGAGGCGCGAAAGCGUGGGGAGCAAACAGG